rnacentral:rRNA from 1 species
UACGGAGGGAGCUAGCGUUGUUCGGAAUUACUGGGCGUAAAGCGCGCGUAGGCGGCUUUGUAAGUUAGAGGUGAAAGCCCGGGGCUCAACUCCGGAACUGCCUUUAAGACUGCAUCGCUUGAAUCCGGGAGAGGUGAGUGGAAUUCCGAGUGUAGAGGUGAAAUUCGUAGAUAUCGAGAGGAACACCGGUGGCGAAGGCGGCUUUCUGGACAGUGACUGACGCUGAGACGCGAAAGCGUGGGGAGCAAACAGG